AAAAUCGCAAGUCCUAAAAUCCCUCCUCACGUUUAUCUCUCUCUCUCUCUCAACCUCGCAGCCGUCUCUCACCUUCUCUGCAAAAUCACUAGCCUCUUUCUCUGCAAAUCUCGACGUUGAAGACGAGAUUUGGGCUGAAAUCAAACAGAGGAUUGUGCAGACUUGGAGGAGGUGACCUUCGUCGAUCGGGGUUUGAGGGUUUGGCGGCGAAAUCGACUCUGAUUUGUUGAAUAAAUUUAGAACGCAAAAUCUAGUCUUUUGCAGGGUCAAUCGAUAAAAUGCAUAAUUCCCGAUCCAUGAAAUUCGAGAAUGGGGAAUUAUUGUGAGACGCAGGAAGACUCUCGAGGUGAUAUGACAGAGGAAUUCAAUGAAACGAAGUCUCCGAGGGAUAUGAAAAGCCACAACACGCACACAGCGUCGAACACUGUCAUAGCAGUAGCGAAGAAAGCGAGCUUGCUCGGAUCUGCUGGACUUUUGGAUGAUACAAAUAUUUUCAUUUGGAUUUCUAUUCAUUGAAAAAUGAUAUUUUGUUCAUUAAAAAAUGUAUUUUGUUCAUUGAAAAGAAUAUGUUCAUUUAAAAAUUGUGUUUUGUUCAAUGAAAUAUGUUUUGUUCAUUUAGAAA